GGAAGUGUGAUAGAUCAAUGACAAAGCAUCUGCUUUGCAUGCAGAAUGUCCCUGGUUCAAUUCCUGGCAUCUCCA